rnacentral:rRNA from 1 species
AUUUCGGACAAUGGGCGAAAGCCUGAUCCAGCCAUGCCGCGUGCGGGAAGAAGGCCUUCGGGUUGUAAACCGCUUUUGUCAGGGAAGAAAAGCUCCGGGCCAAUACCCCGGAGUCAUGACGGUACCUGAAGAAUAAGCACCGGGUAACUACGUGCCAGCAGCCGCGGUAAUACGUAGGGUGCAAGCGUUAAUCGGAAUUACUGGGCGUAAAGCGUGCGCAGGCGGCUUUGCAAGACAGAUGUGAAAUCCCCGGGCUUAACCUGGGAACUGCAUUUGUGACUGCAUGGCUGGAGUGCGGCAGAGGGGGAUGGAAUUCCGCGUGUAGCAGUGAAAUGCGUAGAGAUGUGGAGGAACACCGAUGGCGAAGGCAGCCUUCUGGGCCAACACUGACGCUCAUGCACGAAAGCGUGGGGAGCAAAC